ACGAACGCUGGCGGCGUGCUUAACACAUGCAAGUCGAACGGAAAGGCCCCUUUGGGGGUACUCGAGUGGCGAACGGGUGAGUAACACGUGAGUAACCUGCCCUUGACUUCGGGAUAACUUCAGGAAACUGGGGCUAAUACCGGAUAGGAAUCCUUGCUGCAUGGUGGGGGUUGGAAAGCUUCGGCGGUUUUGGAUGGACUCGCGGCUUAUCAGCUUGUUGGUGGGGUAUUGGCUUACCAAGGCUUUGACGGGUAGCCGGCCUGAGAGGGCGACCGGCCACAUUGGGACUGAGAUACGGCCCAGACUCCUACGGGAGGCAGCAGUGGGGAAUAUUGCACAAUGGGCGGAAGCCUGAUGCAGCAACGCCGCGUGCGGGAUGACGGCCUUCGGGUUGUAAACCGCUUUCAGCAGGGGCGAAGCUUGUGGUGACGGUACCUGCAGAAGAAGCACCGGCUAACUACGUG
rnacentral:rRNA from 1 species